GCCUUGGUAGCUCAGUUGGUAGAGCAUGAGAUUCUUAAUCUCAAGGUUGUGGGUUUGAGCCCCAUGUUGGGCA